GCAGUCGCAGUCGUUUCAGGCGAGGCGGGUUUGUGCGGGAAGCAGCCACGCAUCUUUUACGAUUGUGCAGCCCUUUCAAACCCCAUACAGGCAAGACGAUUCGGUUUGAAUUACCCCCUCGCGUUUGUGUGCGGACUUGUGAAGGCAGGUAGGCUCCGUCGUAGCCGCGAUAUAAACUGUUUUCAGGAAGGCUGCAAGGCCUCGCGGGAGAAUGGCCAUGAAUUACGGUAGGCCUCCGCCAGACGUCGACGGCAUGACUUCCCUCAAAGUGGACAACUUAACGUACCGAACCUCGCCCGAGACCCUGAGACGCGUGUUCGAGAAGUACGGCCGGGUCGGGGACGUGUACAUCCCCCGGGACCGCUACACGAAGGAGAGCCGCGGAUUCGCGUUUGUGCGCUUCCACGACAAAAGGGACGCCGAGGACGCGAUGGACGCCAUGGACGGCGCGCUCCUCGAUGGGCGGGAGCUGCGGGUCCAGAUGGCCCGGUACGGAAGACCCCCGGAUUCCCACCACGGGAGCGGCGGCGGCGGCGGUGGUGGAGGGCGGCGAGGAGGGCCAACAAGGAGGCAUGGCGGCCAUGGACGCCGAAGCAGAAGCUCUUCCCCCAGUCCGAGACACAGAAGACGCAGCCGAUCCCGCAGCAGGAGCCGCUCUCGUUCCCGAAGCCGGUCCCGCUACAGCAGAUCCAGGUCCCGGUCCUACUCCCGAUCAAAGUCUCAUUCUCCCAGGAACAAGAAGGCCGCUGCCAAGUCCCCAUCUCGUUCCAGAUCUAGAUCCAGGGGCCAGUCCAAAUCCAAGUCAAAGUCUAAAUCCAAAUCCAAGUCCAAGUCCAGAUCCAGAAGCCGCACCCCUUCCUCCAAAAGAGGGUCCCGGUCGAUGUCUAAAAGCCCACCGAAGACGGCGGCAGAAAAUGGAGGCGAAACCCCGUAGAGCUCAGCAUGUCAGCAGGAGCUGCGGCAUCCUGUUUGCUAAAGUGGAGUUUGAGCAGAGCUGAGGCAGUAUGAGCAGUUAGAAGGUGUGUGGUGAGCUGCCCACGGGCCGCCUGCUGCUGGUGAGGGUUUCUGUGCGGCAGGGUGGAGGCAGUCAGAGUUGGGGUUUGGUGUUGAGGUACGUCUGUCUGUCCGCCCACUGGACAUAAAGCUGUCCUCCAGGACGGGGGGCGCUGAGGUUUGUCCAACUCUACUCCCAUGUCAGUCCCACUUUGUUUGUUCCUAUUUUUGUACCACAUUUUCAAUACGUCUCCAAUUAAAACAUUUUUUUUUUUUUAAGAAUUUAGUGAAGGCCGUCAUCAGAUAGGCCUUAAGAGUAAAUUAAUGCUGUUAGUCGGUGUGUAACAUGUCGAUAGGAGUUCCUGGAAAGGCGCCAGCCUCGUGAAGCAAUUCAGUAGUUUUACUGAUUGUGGUCUGGCACACAUCAAUUAUUUACCAAAGCUCAAGUCGUUUUAAAUUCCCCGCCUUUGUCAUCUUUUGAAUUAUCUAAAUUGCUUCCUGAUCAAUGAUUAUUGCAGCUACAGGGCUCAGUUAUUCAGUGUCCUGAUUUAAAUCUUGUAGUGAAACAUGGGCUUGUGAGUCGGGCUGCACUCUUAUCUUUAUCAAUUUAAUCUGCUGAUUUAUGUUUGUUUAAUCGUUUGGUCUCUCAGAAAAUACUGAAAAUGCCCAUCACAAGUGUCCAUAGCCCAAGAUGUCUUUGAUUUGUCCCCAAAUCACAGUUAUUUACUUUACAACCUGAAAAAGAUUUGAAAAGCUGAGAAACUCUGUGACCUACACUGAACAUUUACUCCUCGCUCGCUUUCAGCGUCACUUCCUGCCGCUCGCUCUGUCAUUCGCUUGCUGACUCCGCUGCUCUGAUAACGGCACCCGUCACGUAGAUGUCCUGAUGAAAGAGGAGAGGAAGCUAGCAAAGCGCAAUUUAACAUAUUUACAGUACAAACCUUGUCAGUGAAAUAUGUAGCGUUCAAUAAUCGUAAUCCAGAUGAAAUGUUCAAUUAAUCGUGAUUUAGAUUUUUGGUGAAAUCGUCCGGCCCUAGCGGCUAUUAAGUUUUAUGGAAUAAAUGUUAAAACUUCUCUGCAGUGGAGGACCUUUUGUUGCACAUGCACCCCCACUAUAAUUUUCUGCCUUCUAAUGAAGGCACAAAAUGCACAAAUAAUACCGAUUGAAAGCGAAUAAAAUGCAUGGCUUAAAAAAACAAGUGGUGUCCGGUGUGAUUACAGCCAGAAGUUGAAAUUAGGAUAUGAGUUAAUUCUAAUAAUCAAUUUCUUUGGAUCUAAAUGUUACAUUAAAAUCAGUUUUAAUUGAAGCCAGCUGAGUGGUAUCAGUCCGAGGCGACAUAAUGUGUUCUGGGGGGGAUUUGCAAAGCCCGUUUACCAAGUAAUGAAAAGAUCCUAACUGUUCCUCUUUUGACAGUUUCCAGGUGAAGACUUCAGAACAUCAUGUUCCAGACUGGAUCCCACGCGAGCAACAGUGUCCUGCUGUCAAAGGCGCAGUUGUGUAGCAGUUGAGUAUUGCUGGUUAGCUGUUAAGGUGGCGCGUUGCUCUGCUGAGUGCUUGGAUGUGUCCAGUAUUCUCCAGAUUGCUCCUGUGACUACCAGUGGUACGCUUGCUACAGUCUCACCCUUUGUACAAUGCCCCCCACCCCCCACCCUUCAUUAAAGAUUUUGAUGUUUUGUCUAUAAAUGUCUCUUCUUUUUAUUGCUCAGUUUAGUUUUUUUGUUUGUGUGUAUUUACAUUCAUACAGCAAGGGCGUCACUUUGUGUUGAAAGGUGGUGGGGACGCAUUAGCGGUGUGCAGAUUACACUUUUCGCUCACGAUGCUCAAUAUUCAGGUCACGAGAACAAGACCAGAUAUUUCAAUACCAUUUCAGAAUAAAUAAUGCAGAAAUGUAUGAGUGGGUGGUCUGAGGGUCCUUCCCCGGUAGAUGUUGAGCAUUAAACACGUUAUUUUCUGCAUUCUGGUGAAAUUUUCUGCACCAAUUUCUGGUGGAAUGUCUAUUUAUGUAAAAGGAAACACAAAAGUCAGGUGACUUUUCAAAAUAUUAGAAGAUAAUGAAAUAUAAUGCAGUAAUUGUUUUUGGUUAGCUUUUGUAACUUUAUUUGUACAAUGCACAUUUGUUUUAUAUUUAAAUUGUACUGCAUGUUUUCUUAGUGUGCAAAUAAACCUUUUAUCAAAGCA